rnacentral:rRNA from 1 species
CCUACGGGUGGCAGCAGUGAGGAAUAUUGGUCAAUGGACGAGAGUCUGAACCAGCCAAGUAGCGUGAAGGAUGACUGCCCUAUGGGUUGUAAACCUCUUUUAUAUGGGAAUAAAACGUUCCACGUGUGGGAUUUUGUAUGUACCAUAGGAAUAAGGAACGGCCAACUCCGUGACAGCAGGCGCGGGAAUAAGGAGGGUCCGAGCGUUUUCCGGAUUUAUUGGGGUUAAAGGGGGCGUAGGUGGAUUGUUAAGUCAGUGGUGAAAGUUUGCGGCUCAACCGUAAAAUUGCAGUUGAAACUGGCAGUCUUGAGUACAGUAGAGGAGGGCGGAAUGCGUGGUGUAGCGGUGAAAUGCUUAGAUAUCACGAAGAACUCCGAUUGCGAAGGCAGUUCACUGGACUGCAACUGACACUGAGGCUCGAAAGUGUGGGUAUCAAACAGGAUUAGAUACCCCUGUAGUC